AAGUCGUAACAAGGUUCUCCGUAGGUGAACCUGCGGAGGGAUCAUUACCGAGUGAGGGCCCCCGGCCCGACCUCCAACCCUUUGUAAACCGACCCUGUUGCCUCGGGGGACUCCGGCGUCUUUCGGGCACCGGGCCCCCCGGUAGACCCUCCAACUCUGCGUCUUUGCGUCGAGUCUUGAAUGAUAAAUCAAUAAAA
rnacentral:misc_RNA from 1 species